rnacentral:rRNA from 1 species
AUGGUGCUGGCAGCUGAGAAGAAUGGCCUGGUCAAAGGUUUAGCUGCUGAUCUUAUUGAGGAUGGGGUGGGCAUCUUGCAAUAUGCUGAUGAUACGGUGCUGUGCUUUGAACAUGAUGUUGACAAGGCUGUCAACAUCAAACUCUUGUUGUAUUUCUUUGAGCUUAUGUUAGGACUUAAGAUCAACUUUGAAAAGAGCGAAAUUUUCAGUAUUGGGGGUGAUAAUGAUAUUGACUUAAUCUAUGUGAACAUGUUUGGAUGCCAAGUGGGGACUCUGCCUAUGAAAUAUUUGGGGGUCCCUGUUACCUAUUCCACUCUCAGGAAUGUUGAUCUGGACUUCCUUGAUGGUAAAAUGAUCAAAAAGCUUGAUGCCUGGGUGGGUUACGCGGCAUCAUCU